CGUAUAUAUGCACUUUAAGAACAAACGUUAUUCACGUAUGGGAUUAAAAUAGAUACCCGUUGCGACAUUACCUAUGGAAAUGAAAUUAUUCGUAAGGUAUGGCAUAAAAAUUAAAUCGAAGUUUAAGAUGUAGCAUUGAAUUCCAAUGAAUUUAAUAGUGCAUCUUUUAAUUAAAAUGAACGUCGAAUUAUUUUGUGAAUCAUUUCUAUGCGAUACACCGCAUUAAAAUACAUUGCAUUUUAAAUGUGCUUAUACAUACAAUGGAAAUUCGGUCUGCAUAAAAUGUAACGCAUAAGAAUAAGACACAAAUUUAAUGUAUCAAAAUGGAAAUGGUAUGAAUGAAAACUACUCUGCAUGCAAAUGCGCAGUUACCUUAGAGAAGGAAAGUAGCCGUAGGUGGUAGGUACGUUUUAUUUGCGGUUGCGCAAAAACAAAACAGCUGUUAUUGAUUGUUACUUACAUCGAACGUGUAAAUGGAUUAAUUAAUACGUUCAUCAAUUUUGAGAAGGCAAGCGAUUUAUUGGGUUAUUUUCUGUCGGUCACACGUGACCUUUACAGUUUUUACGUACAUAUUCGGAUUUGCACCUGCUGCACAAUAUUGUUUAAUAUAAAGCAAGAAAAAGGCCGAUGGAAAUCGAAAGAUGUGCAAGAGGCGCCGGGUCCCCUUAACAAUAAAUUGGAGGUGUACGCUGUCGCUAUAAAAAUAGGUAAUCUCAAAUUUCACUUAUUCUUACCUGUAAUGCAAAUUGAGUGAACAGUUACAGGUUCGUGGGAAUUAAUAAUGGAUAAAGAGUCCAGAGAUAAACCGUGUUAAUGGAACGAAGCUCAUGUUCUACGACUCUUGUAAGGAACAAGCACAUCGACAAGUUGAUGCUCCUUCGUAAUGGAAAUUAUGUCGAGUUCAAUCGUGAUAUAUCUACUAACACGAUUAGUUAAAUAUGUAAUCUCCAUUGAAUGAGAGAUUUGUAUAUUUACAAGAUGCUAAUACAUGUACCUGUGUAGAAACACGAGCACGUGAGACAUUGUUAGACACGUAUCUCGUUCUGUUUGAUGGGUGCACCGUAGUAUGUAAACGAAGACGUGUCAUUCGCUAACAAAGUUACACAAAUAUUGUCAACAAAAUUUGUAUCCUGAUAAUUAAACGAUUAUCCUAUUCGUCA